GCUUGAGGGAUAGGAAGACACGGACUUACGUAAUUCAGCAAGACAGAUGCCAGGUAUCUCAGUCUGAGCCCUUUGCUUUGGACUCAUCAACAAGCAGUUACCAUUGUCCUGUGACAAAGAGAGGUGGCUUAUCACUGGAGGUCUUCUUCUUGGACUCUUCCUCAUGUUUAUGAUAGAAUCGGGGAGAAUAUCUGGUAGAGGAAGCUACAGAGGUCUCACUGCUUAUCUUCCUGAAGCCAUACAAGUUGAGCUGGCGAAUGAAACUCUUUAAGCUGUCUGUUUCAAAAAUCUUCUUUGCCCCCUUAAGCUGAAGGACCUCUCUCUGGAAAAGGUCUACAUCAAUCAUAAUGGUGUCUCCUUCCUCAGUCCAAUUCACCGACUUGAAUGCCUCGUUCUGCACAAUGGCCCAGAGCUUCCUGGGGAAAGGUAGACUGAGAAGGUCACAGCUCUCAACAUUGUUUCACGGAGCAAAGUUUCAGACACAUGAACCCUAAGACCAACACUGAGAAACUGAAACUGUGAAUCUGAGGAAAUUCAAAUGAGUUGAGUUCACAGACAUGGAACCUUUCCCCAGUGUUGGCUGCCAGCAAAGAUCAGAAUCUGUGUCCAUACAGAGAGAAACACAGCUUAGACUCAAGAUAUCUGGAGAGCGCUUAGAAGGCAGAGGAACAGACCAAACAAAAGAUACCACUCUUAAAAGAUCUGGGAGGAUUUGGAAGCAGGAGAAGCUUUUUCUGGUAUUCAGCAAAUUGGUGAUGCAACCAGUUACAACAUUCAGAUGUCCUGACAAUAACCCACAAUAGAGAAGAAAGGAGAAAGGAAGAAAUCACAGUGUUUGAUAAGAGAAGUCUGUGUCCCUAUUGUGUGUUUUUCCUUUAGGCCAUUUGGUGAGUAAUUGUCCAAAAGUAAAGUGACCCUCUGUACUAAAUCACAAAAUUGAAAAUGAUCAGUAGAAAGAGGGUUUUGUUAAAAAGUAAAUUAGCUCUCUGAUAGACUUUUCCAGGGGCAAUAAUCCAUUACACUCAAUCCAACCUCCAUGGCCAAAGUGCUAAUGUUUGUUAAAAUAAAAUUUCAAGUGCUUGCUACAGGACCAGAUUUCCCUGUUUCUCUUCCAUAUUUGUUCAGAAGUUUUCUUAUUUCCGAUAAUCAAACUAGAGUAAUCAAUUAAAAAUGGCAUGUGUUUGUUUGUGGUAACUGUGAAAGCUUUGCUAGAUCUUCCAUGAAAUUGUGAUAUUUUCUGAGAAUAUAAGUUUUUAUGAUGGUGGAAAUUCAUAGUUACCCUGGAAUGUAUCCAAAUAAAUCUGUCAAAGUUCCUUCUUCCUUCCUUCCUUCCUUCCUUCCUUCCUCCCUUCCUCCCUCCCUCCCUCCUCUCUCUUCUUUUUUGUUUUUGUUUUCAAGACAGGAUUUCUCUGUGUAUCUGUCUGUCCUGGAACUUGCUCUGCAGACCAGAAUGACCUUGAACUCACAGAGAUCCACCUGUCUCUGCCUCCCGAGUGCUGGGAUUAAAGGCAAGCAUCACGACUGCCUAGCUACUUUCUUUUCAUUCAGUAUAAUUAUUUAAUGCCCAUGUUUUCUGUUUAGAAUUUAUUAGAAUAAAUUCCCUGUAAAUGUCACUGAAAUUUUUAGUUUUAUAUAGGAUUAAGUGCUAGAGUUUUCUGUAUUUAAUUACUUUUACUGUUGUGAAAACACAUGUCAUAAUAAAGUGUCAUAUUGAAAA